rnacentral:misc_RNA from 1 species
UCCGGUUUGUCACCGGCAGUCCCAUUAGAGUGCCCAACUUAAUGCUGGCAACUAAACACAGGGGUUGCGCUCGUUGAGGGACUUAACCCGACAUGCCACGACACGAGCUGACGACAGCCAUGCAGCACCUGUGCAGGCUCCGAAGAGCGUCGUCUUUCAACGAUUUCACCCUGCAUGUCAAACCCAGGUAAGGUUCUUCGCGUUGCAUCGAAUUAAGCCGCAUGCUCCGCCGCUUGUGCGGGCCCCCGUCAAUUCCUUUGAGUUUUAGCCUUGCGGCCGUACUCCCCAGGCGGGGUGCUUAAUGCGUUAGCUUCGGCACGGAAGGGGUCGAUGUCCCCCCACACCUAGCACCCAACGUUUACGGCUAGGACUAC